AUGAACCCACCAUUGCGAUGGAACACGACUAUUUCAGAAGCCUAUGCAUCUCCUGAUGCUGACUACUGGAAGGAAGAUGUUCGUAGGGAGAUGGAUUCCAUCUUAGCUAACGGAACCUGGGAGAUCACUGACCGUCCUUAUGGGUGCAAACCUGUAGGGUGUAAGUGGGUGUUCAAGAAGAAGCUUAGACCUGAUAGUACGAUUGAAAACUACAAGGCACGGCUUGUGGCUAAGGGUUAUACCCAAAAAGAAGGUGAAGACUUCUUUGAUACUUACUCACCCCUGGCUAGACUGACCACAAUUCGGGUGCUACUAUCACUGGCUGCCUCACAUGGUCUUCUCGUUCAUCAAAUGGACGUUAAGACGGCUUUCCUCAAUGGAGAGUUGAAGGAGGAAAUUUACAUGGAUCAGCCAGAUGGUUUUGUAGUACCUGGUCAAGAAGGAAAGGUGUGCAAGUUAUUAAAGUCUUUAUAUGGCCUUAAACAAGCUCCUAAGGAGUGGCAUGAGAAGUUCGAAAGAACAUUAACUGCUGCCGGCUUUGUAGUAAAUGAUGGUGACAAGUGUGUGUACUAUCGCCAUGGUGGGGGCGAAGGAGUUAUUCUUUGUCUGUAUGUCGACGACAUAUUGAUCUUUGGAACCAAACUUGAUUUCAUCAAGGAGGUUAAAGAUUUCUUAUCUCGCUGUUUUGAGAUGAAGGAUCUAGGAGUAGCUGAUGUUAUCUUAAACAUCAAGCUGUUGAGAGAUGAGAAUGGUGGGAUCACACUGCUUCAGUCUCACUAUGUGGAAAAGGUCUUGAGUCGUUUUGGGCAUACCGACUGCACGCAUUCUCCAACUCCAUAUGAUGCUAGUGUUGCCACGAGGCCUGACAUCUCUUUUGCUGUGAGCAAGCUGAGUCGGUUUGUGUCAAAACCGGGAGCUGAUCAUUGGCGUGCGCAUGAGAGAGUUAUGCGCUACUUGAAGGGCACUGCGAGCUAUGGGAUUCACUACACCGGGUAUCCAAGGGUACUGGAGGGUUAUAGUGACUCGAACUGGAUAUCUGAUGCUGAUGAGGUUAAGGCCACAAGUGGUUAUGUUUUUACACUUGGUGGUGGCGCUGUUUCCUGGAAGUCUUGCAAGCAGACCAUCUUAACGAGGUCAACUAUGGAAGCAGAACUCACAGCAUUAGACACUGCCACUGUUGAAGCAGAGUGGCUUCGUGAGCUAUUGAUGGACUUACCUAUGGUUGAAAAACUAAUACCCCCUAUCCUGAUGAACUGUGAUAAUCAAACUGUGAUCGUCAAGAUAAACAGUUCUAAGGACAAUAUGAAGUCCUCAAGGCAUGUGAAGAGGAGACUAAAAUCUGUCAGGAAACUGAGAAACUCCGGAUUUAUUACGUUGGAUUAUAUCCAAACGUCGAAAAACUUGGCAGAUCCCUUCACAAAGGGUCUAUCACGUAAUCUGAUAGAUAAUGCAUCGAUGGAGAUGGGUUUGAGACCCACCGCAUGA
rnacentral:rRNA from 1 species